AAAAAUGUGACGCUUUGCUUCCGGUGUCCUUCUCUGCUUUAGCCAGCCGUCUGGAGGGCUUGUGAAGAAAUCUGGCUUACAACUAGGGAUUUCUCGGGCAUCUCCAUGAUGUUUGAAGUAACGUUAUUUAAUAACCGACGUAUGCAGUAUGGUUUCGGAUGACAUGUAAUGGUCCUCCUGUGAAGGGACGGGGCAAUCCGGCUCCAGAACACAGAUGUGGCUGAAUGAUCCUGGGAAUGGAAUCAGAAAAUGCAUAUUUUGCAUCUGAGGAAGUUUGUCCUAAUGGUGUGAUCUGAAGGAUGUCCACUAGAAGGUGCAACACACUUUUUUGAUGAUUGGCAGUGUAUUAGAGGUGUAAUCUGAAGGAUGUCCACUAGAAGGCGCAACACCCUUUUUUCGGUGAUUGGCAGUGUAUUAGAGGUCCCAUAUGGCUAAAUUGAAGAAUGAAUGCUGACAGGCUAUCACUCUUACAGUAUUUAAAAUGAAAAGUUUGGAGUUUGAGUGAAGGGUUUCCCAGCCAGACUUUUCUUGGAAGGUGAGAGAGCUGCUCCACAUCCCCGGAUCACUUUCAAAGGGGGUCAACCAGGUCUUUUCACUGGUGACCCUUAACGCAGUGAUCCCAAAUCAGUGCCCUGUGAGAUGUUUUGCAGGUUUUUUUGCAAAUAAACUGCUUGCUGUCUUUGGGGCAACACCUGAUUUGCUUUAUGCAAUAUCAGUUGCAUAGCCAAUUGUAAUAGCACUUUCAAUAUGAAUGUAAUUGCUCGUCUUUAACAGGUGGUGCUGCUGAGGAGAUCAUACUGCACAUAAAAUCUGUAAACCUUCUGCUUUGGAGUGUUUUGCUGUGAUGCAAUUUUUAAUAAAUUAAGUUUAAAAGA